rnacentral:rRNA from 1 species
CCCUUAGAUGUUCUGGGCUGCACGCGUGCUACAAUGAAGCGUCCAACAAGAUGCGAAGCCGAAAGGCUCAGCGGAUCUUUGAAGUCGUUUCGUGACCGGGACAGUUGAUUGCAAUUAUUCGACUCGAACGAGAAAUUCCUUGUAAUCGCGAUUCAUCAUAUCGCGCUGAAUACGUCCCUGCCCUUUGUACACACCGCCCGUCGCUCCUACCGAUUGAGCGAUCCGGUGAAUUAUUUGGAGUGUCCACGCAAGCCAAUCCGUUUACGUGGGUGCGAAAUUUUGUAAACCUUAUCGCUUAGAGGAAGGAAAAGUCGUAACA